GAUGAACGCUGGCGGCGUGCUUAACACAUGCAAGUCGAACGGAAAGGCCCAAGCUUGCUUGGGUACUCGAGUGGCGAACGGGUGAGUAACACGUGGGUGAUCUGCCCUGCACUUCGGGAUAAGCCUGGGAAACUGGGUCUAAUACCGGAUAGGACGAUGGUUUGGAUGCCAUUGUGGAAAGUUUUUUCGGUGUGGGAUGAGCUCGCGGCCUAUCAGCUUGUUGGUGGGGUAAUGGCCUACCAAGGCGUCGACGGGUAGCCGGCCUGAGAGGGUGUACGGCCACAUUGGGACUGAGAUACGGCCCAGACUCCUACGGGAGGCAGCAAUGGGGAAUAUUGCACAAUGGGCGCAAGCCUGAUGCAGCGACGCCGCGUGGGGGAUGACGGCCUUCGGGUUGUAAACUCCUUUCGCUAGGGACGAAGCGUUUUUGUGACGGUACCUGGAGAAGAAGCACCGGCUAACUACGUG
rnacentral:rRNA from 1 species